AUGCCUCACAGUGGCCAUUCUGGCUCAGCUUUUGCCUUUUGGCAGCAUGUCCAGGCCCAGAACUUCCUCAAGCUCAGCUCUUGCCUAACGGAGUUCGUCCUUGGCCAAGUUCCUGCCUGCCUCCCAACAGGCUCGAAAGGCCCAGCUCCUGCCCCCGACAGUCUCUCCAGGCCAAAAUCUUCCUCAAGUCAGCCUCUACAGGCUGGUCUCUUGCCUCACACUGGCCUCUCCAGGCCCAGCUCCUGCAUCUUGGCAGCCUCUCCAGGCCCAGCUCUUGCCUCGUGGCAGCUGCCCCAGGCCAAGUUUCUGACUGCCUGCCAGCAGCCUCAACAGGCACAGCUCCUCCCUCAUGCUGGCCUGUUUACACCAGCCUCUGCCUCACAGUGGACCCUCCAGACCCAGAUCAUGUCUUACUCAUUUGCCUCACGGCAGCCUCCCCAGGCCACAAAUCUGCCUGUCUCCCAGCAGUCUUGACAAGUCCAGCUGCUGCCUCACAAUGGCCCCUUUAGGCCCAGCUCAUGCCAAAAGGUGGGCAUAGCUCUUGCCUCCUGGCAGCCUCUGCAGGCCCCAAUUCUCCAAAAGUUGGCCUCUCCCAACCCAGCUCCUACCUCACGUCAGCCUACACAGGCCCAAACUCUACCACACAGUGGCCCUUCCAGGCCUACCACUUGCCUGAUCAUGGCCUCCUCAGGUGAAGCUCCUGCCUCACAAUGGCCUCUGUAGGCCAAGCUCAUGUC